CCUACGGGAGGCAGCAGUGGGGCAUAUUGCGCAAUGGGCGAAAGCCUGACGCAGCGACGCCGCGUGAGGGAUGAAGGUCUUCGGAUCGUAACCCUCUGUCAGCCGGGAAGAACGGACACUGUGCUAAUCAGCAGUGAAUUGACGGUACCUGCAAAGGAAGCACCGGCUAACUCCGUGCCAGCAGCCGCGGUAAUACGGAGGGUGGGAGCGUUAAUCGGAAGUACUGGGCGUAAAGCGCUCGUAAGCGGUAUGUCAAGUCAAGGGUGAAAUCCCCGCGCUCAACGUGGGAACUGCCUUUGAAACUGGCAAACUUGAGUGUGUGAGAGGAUAGUGGAAUUGCAGGGGUAGGAGUGAAAGCCGGAGAUAUCUGGAGGAACAUCAGUGGCGAAGGCGAUUAUCUGGCACAUAACUGACGCUGAGGAGCGAAAGCGUGGGUAGCAAACAGGAUUAGAUACCCUUGUAGUC
rnacentral:rRNA from 1 species